rnacentral:rRNA from 1 species
AUUGAACGCUGGCGGCAUGCUUUACACAUGCAAGUCGGACGAGUGGCGAACGGGUGAGUAACAUAUCGGAACGUACCUAGAAAAUGGGGAUAACUAAUCGAAAGGUUAGCUAAUACCGCAUAGUAUUCGAGCGGCCGAUAUCUGAGUAGCUGGUUGGUUGGGUAAAGGCCUACCAAGGCGACGAUCAGUAGCGGCUCUGAGAGGAUGAUCCGCCCACCUGGGACUGAGACACGGCCCCGACUCCUGCGGGAGGCAGCAGUGGGGAAUUUUAGACAAUGGGCGAAAGCCUGAUACAGCCACGCCGCUUGUCUGAAGAAGGACUUCGGGUUGUAAAGGUCUUUUGUCAGGGAAGCGGUACCUAAACAAUAAGCACCGGCUAACUACGUGCCAGCAGCCGCGGUAAUUC